UGGGUGGCGCUUAAAUCUGACAAUUAUUUGAUCACAUGAUCUACUGGCUAUAUGUGGCGUGACUAAGGUUAUUUCCUUGUGAGAGCUACUUUUACGGGCGGCACGGCGGUCGAGUGGUUAGCGCACAGACCUCACAGCUAGGAGACCAGGGUUCAAUUCCACCCUCGGCCAUCUCUGUGUGGAGUUUGCAUGUUCUCCCCGUGCAUGCGUGGGUUUUCUCCGGGUACUCCGGUUUCCUCCCACAUUCCAAAAACAUGCUAGGUUAAUUAGCGACUCCAAAUUGUCCAUAGGUAUGAAUGUGAGUGUGAAUGGUUGUUUGUCUAUAUGUGCCCUGUGAUUGGCUGGCCACCAGAAGACAGCUGGGAUAGGCUCCACCAUCCCCUGCGACCCUUGUGAGGAAAAGCGGUAGAAAAUGAAUGAAUGAGCUACUUUUACCAAAUGAAAAUGACCAGUGACAGAUGCACGAUCGUGCUCCUUGUCUUAUUAUAAAGUGUUUUAUGAAACAAAUUCAAGAUUUUUAUACCCUUUUUAGUUAGGGUGGAGUGCUUCCUCCGGGUUGGGGAUGAGAUCCUGCCCCAGGAGUUCAAGGAUCUCGGGGUAUUGUUCACGGGUGAGGGAAGGUGGGAGCGUGUGGUGAAAAGAGAGCUUACCCAGAAGGCAAAGUGGGAGGAGCUCAGAGUCGCGUCGCUUCUCCUUCACAUUGAGAGGAACCAGUUAAGGUGGCUCGGGCGUCUCAUCCGGAUGCCUCCCUGGUGAGGUGUUCCGGCAUGCCCAGCCGGGAAAACGCCCCCGGGGCAUUCCUAGGACACGCUGGAGAUAUUUUGUCUCACAGCUGGCCUGGGAACGCCUUGAUGUCCUCCCCUUGGAGCUGGAGAAGGUGGCCGGGGAUCGGGAAAUCUGGGCUUCCAUACUGAGACUGCUGCCCCCGUGACCUGGAGGAAAAAUGUAGGAAUGGUUUAAGAUCGCAAGUCUGAGCAAUUAAUGUGGACCGACGGCUCCGACGUGGAUUUUGAGGCCUUUAACAACGAUGACGAUGAUGGAAGUUGUGUGGAGAUUGAAAACUCUGAUCUACUCUGGGAUAAAGACGAUUGCUCGAAUAUCAACGAAUAUGUCUGUG